UGGUUCAAGGAGUGGCUUAGGGACAGCAAGAGAUUAGAUUGUUAGUACAGGGGAAUCCCCCUACUACUCAACCGGAGGUUGUGGCUGAUCCUCCCGCUGGAGAGGCUAAUGAAUCCAAUGGACUGGGGCCUAUCCCAAUCCCACAUGGCAACCUUGGUCAACAACCCACCCAUGAUGAUCAGGAGGAUCAAUUCCCCCUGCUUCAGGAGGACUUUGGCAUGGGCCAUGGUAUGGGCCCUAUGUUUCG
rnacentral:lncRNA from 1 species